CAUGCAUCAAUCGUUCUCUUCUCUUUCAGCCCUCAUCGCAAGAAGAACUCGCUUGUUGGAAUGAGGGAAGAAAUAAUUUUGGAGACAAAGCAUACCUCAGGACUUUGGCCGUAAAAGCUUGGCAGUUCCAUUAUCCAAGUGGGAUCUGGAAAAAGCAUUUUUCUUCAACAAAACAAGGAUUUUUCUUUUUUAAAGGUGAAUAGAAUUUUAAGUUUCAUUAAUGUUUUCUGAUUCUUAGUUUGAAAAAUAAAUUAUGUUCAACUGAA